CCUACGGGCGGCAGCAGUGGGGAAUCUUAGACAAUGGGCGCAAGCCUGAUCUAGCCAUGCCGCGUGAGCGAUGAAGGCCUUAGGGUUGUAAAGAUCUUUCAGGGGGGAAGAUAAUGACUGUACCCCCAGAAGAAGCCCCGGCUAACUCCGUGCCAGCAGCCGCGGUAAUACGGAGGGGGCUAGCGUUGUUCGGAAUUACUGGGCGUAAAGCGCACGUAGGCGGACUGGAAAGUUGGAGGUGAAAUCCCAGGGCUCAACCUUGGAACUGCCUUCAAAACUCCCAGUCUUGAGUUCGAGAGAGGUGAGUGGAAUUCCGAGUGUAGAGGUGAAAUUCGUAGAUAUUCGGAGGAACACCAGUGGCGAAGGCGGCUCACUGGCUCGAUACUGACGCUGAGGUGCGAAAGCGUGGGGAGCAAACAGGAUUAGAUACCCGAGUAGUC
rnacentral:rRNA from 1 species